GAGUUUGAUCCUGGCUCAGAUUGAACGCUGGCGGCAUGCCUAACACAUGCAAGUCGAACGGUAGCAGGCCUUCGGAUGCUGACGAGUGGCGGACGGGUGAGUAAUGCGUAGGAAUCUGUCUUUUAGUGGGGGACAACCCAGGGAAACUUGGGCUAAUACCGCAUGAGCCCUGAGGGGGAAAGCGGGGGAUCUUCGGACCUCGCGCUAAGGGAGGAGCCUACGUCUGAUUAGCUAGUUGGUAGGGUAAAGGCCUACCAAGGCGACGAUCAGUAGCUGGUCUGAGAGGACGACCAGCCACACUGGGACUGAGACACGGCCCAGACUCCUACGGGAGGCAGCAGUGGGGAAUUUUUCGCAAUGGGGGCAACCCUGACGAAGCAAUGCCGCGUGGAUGAAGAAGGCCUUCGGGUUGUAAAGUCCUUUCGUGGGGGACGAAAAGGGUGGGUCCUAAUACGAUCUGCUGUUGACGUGAACCCAAGAAGAAGCACCGGCUAACUCGGCUAACUCCGUGCCAGCAGCCGCGGUAAUAC
rnacentral:rRNA from 1 species